rnacentral:misc_RNA from 1 species
CAAUCUCAACAACAGCAUUUGAUUCAUCUAUAUCUUGGUCCUUAAGAAGCAAAUUGAAAGUAUCACAAUAAUCUGGGAGGAGCCUCAUGUAAUUCAUCACAUACUUCACGAGGGGAUGGAUUCCACCUCCAGGGAAAGGGCGUAUAGAUGAAUCAGAUGCAAUGGCAUUCCCAAAUCUCAUAAAGGUCUCCCUUGCAGAAGCACCCAAUCCACUUAAAAGUUUGUGGUACUCUAUUCUAAUAAAAGAACCAUUAUCUUCUGAGAACAAACUGUCCAUCUCUAGGUGAAGAUCUGCCAUAAUCUCAUACAUGUCAAGCAGGCGGAAUAACUUCUCAGGCUUCUGAGGUCCGGUUGUUAUGGCUUUGCCAAAAUUCAAAAAGCACAAAACCGAAUCCUUUGAGAUUUCAAUGAAGCAAAACGAAUUGAAAGAACCAAAAUCCCCCAAUAUCUGGUCACAAAGUCGUUUCUCACUAGCAAGAUACACGCUAAUCAUAACUUUCAUAAUCCAAAUCCAUUUCUUGAUCUUCCUGCUCAAGCAAUCCCAUUCCAGCUUCAGAACGUCCUCAAUACUGAGUUUCUCCAUUUCAAGAACGGACAAGUAUUCAUAUAAUGCUUCUCUCUGGAUAUCAAUGAAAGCCUCACAAAAUUCUUGAAUGUAGUUAGAAGCAGACAUAACAUUUGCAAUGGACUUUAUAUUGGGAAUUACACAUGGAUCAACCAAAUCUAGAUAACAUUCAGCAGAUUCUCUGUCUUCCCCAUCUCUCUGGUAUGUUUCAUCAACUAUUUCAUCUUCCACAGAAGCAAAUGACUCGUCAUAAAACACACCUUCUGCACGUGAAUGA